rnacentral:rRNA from 1 species
AGUGAACGCUGGCGGUAGGCCUAACACAUGCAAGUCGAACGGCAGCACAGUAAGAGCUUGCUCUUACGGGUGGCGAGUGGCGGACGGGUGAGGAAUACAUCGGAAUCUACUUUUUCGUGGGGGAUAACGUAGGGAAACUUACGCUAAUACCGCAUACGACCUACGGGUGAAAGCAGGGGAUCUUCGGACCUUGCGCGAUUGAAUGAGCCGAUGUCGGAUUAGCUAGUUGGCGGGGUAAAGUCCCACCAAGGCGACGAUCCGUAGCUAGUCUGAGAGGAUGAAAAGCCAAACUGGAAAUGAGAAAAGGUCCAGAAACCCAAGGGGGGGAGAAGGGGGGAAAAUUGGACAAUGGGGGGAAGCCUGAAGCAGCCAUGCCGCGGGGGGGAAGAAGGCCUUCGGGUUUUAAAAGCCUUUUUGUGGGGAAGAAAAGAGAAAAGGUAAAAACCCCACUGUUUGACGGGACCCAAAGAAAAAACACCGGCUAAAUUCGUG